rnacentral:rRNA from 1 species
CCUUCGAGCGGGGACAACGUUCCGAAAGGGACGCUAAUACCGCAUACGUUUCUCGGGACUCUGGUCCUGAGAAGGAAAGCUAGGUCGCAAGAUCCGGCACUCGAUGAGGAGCCUGCGUAGCAUCAGCUAGUUGGUGGGGUAAUGGCCUACCAAGGCGAAGACGCUUAGCUGGUCUGAGAGGAUGAUCAGCCACACUGAAACUGAGACACGGUUCAG